CCUACGGGUGGCAGCAGUGGGGAAUAUUGCACAAUGGGGGAAACCCUGAUGCAGCGACGCCGCGUGAGUGAAGAAGUAUUUCGGUAUGUAAAGCUCUAUCAGCAGGGAAGAAAAUGACGGUACCUGACUAAGAAGCCCCGGCUAACUACGUGCCAGCAGCCGCGGGAAUACGUGGGGGGCAAGCGUUAUCCGGAUUUACUGGGGGUAAAGGGAGCGUCGGUGGCAUGGUAAGCCAGAAGUUAAAACCCGGGGCUCAACCCCGCGGAUUGCUUUUGGAACUAUCAGGCGGGAGUGCUGGAGGGGUAAGCGGAAUUCCUAGUGUAGCGGUGAAAUGCGUAGAUAUUAGGAGGAACACCGGUGGCGAAGGCGGCUUACUGGACAGAAACUGACACUGAGGCUCGAAAGCGUGGGGAGCAAACAGGAUUAGAUACCCGGGUAGUC
rnacentral:rRNA from 1 species